rnacentral:rRNA from 1 species
UACAGGGGGUGCAAACGUUGCUCGGAAUUAUUGGGCGUAAAGCGCGCGUAGGCGGCCACUUAAGUCGGAUGUGAAAGCCCCUGGCUCAACUGGGGAAGUGCACCCGAAACUGAAUGGCUUGAAUACAAAAGAGGGUCGCGGAAUUCCCGGUGUAGAGGUGAAAUUCGUAGAUAUCGGGAGGAACACCAGUGGCGAAGGCGACUUUCUGGUCUGUAACUGACACUGAGGCGCGAAAGCGUGGGGAGCGAACAGG